rnacentral:rRNA from 1 species
UUUAANGUNUAAUCWGCCMUAUGAGGUUUUAAAUGGCCGCGGUAUUUUGACCGUGCAAAGGUAGCAUAAUAAUUAGUUUUUUAAUUGAAAGCUGGAAUGAAUGAUUGGACGAGAAAAUAACUGUCUCUAAUUAAUUUUUUUAGAAUUUUAUUUUUAAGUAAAAAAGCUUAAAUUUUUUUAAAAGACGAGAAGACCCUAUAGAGUUUGAUAUAUUUAAUUUUAUUUAGGUUUAUAGAAUUAGAUGUUUGUUAUUUUUAAAUAUAUUUUGUUGGGGUGAUAGAAAAAUUAGAUUAACUUUUUUUGUAUUUAAACAUUAAUUUAUGGUUUAGUGAUCCAUUUUUUAUGAUUAUAAGAUUAAAUUACCUUAGGGAUAACAGCGUAAUUUUUUUUUAGAGUUCUUAUCGAAAAAAGAGAUUGCGACCUCGAUGUUGGAUUAAAAUAGACAUUUGGUGUAGGGGCUAAAUAGUUAGGUCUGUUCGACCUUUAAAAUUUUACA